GAUGAAGAACGUAGCGAAAUGCGAUAAGUAAUGUGAAUUGCAGAAUUCAGUGAAUCAUCGAGUCUUUGAACGCACAUUGCGCCCCCUGGUAUUCCGGGGGGCAUGCCUGUCCGAGCGUCAUUGCUGCCCUCAAGCACGGCUUGUGUGUUGGGCCCCCGUCCCCGGUUUCCCCCGGGGACGGGCCCGAAAGGCAGCGGCGGCACCGCGUCCGGUCCUCGAGCGUAUGGGGCUUUGUCACCCGCUCUGUAGGCCCGGCCGGCGCCAGCCGACACCCAACUUUAUUUCUAAGGUUGACCUUGGAUCAGGUAGGGAUACCCGCUGAACUUAAGCAUAUCAAUAAGCGGAGGA
rnacentral:misc_RNA from 1 species